UACGGAGGGUGCGAGCGUUGUCCGGAAUCACUGGGCUUAAAGGGCGCGUAGGCGGGCUGCCGCGUCCGGGGUGAAAUCCCACGGCUCAACCGUGGAACUGCCUCGGAUACGGGCGGUCUUGAGGGGGGUAGGGGCACGCGGAACUGUGGGUGGAGCGGUGAAAUGCGUUGAUAUCCACAGGAACUCCGGUGGCGAAGGCGGCGUGCUGGACCCCAUCUGACGCUGAGGCGCGAAAGCCAGGGGAGCAAACGGG
rnacentral:rRNA from 1 species